rnacentral:rRNA from 2 species
GAAACGACUGCUAAGACUGGAUAGGAGAUAAGAAGGCAUCUUCUUAUUUUUAAAAGACCUAGCAAUAGGUAUGCUUAAGGAGGGGCUUGCGUCACAUUAGUUAGUUGGUAGGGUAAAAGCCUACCAAGACGAUGAUGUGUAGCCGGGCUGAGAGGCUGAACGGCCACAUUGGAACUGAGACACGGUCCAAACUCCUACGGGAGGCAGCAGUAGGGAAUUUUCGGCAAUGGAGGAAACUCUGACCGAGCAACGCCGCGUGAACGAUGAAGUAUUUCGGUACGUAAAGUUCUUUUAUUAGGGAAGAAAAGAUGGUGGAAAAACCAUUAUGACGGUACUUAAUGAAUAAGCCCCGGCUAACUAUGUGCCAGCAGCCGCGGUAACACAUAGGGGGCGAGCGUUAUCCGGAAUUAUUGGGCGUAAAGGGUGCGUAGGCGGCUUAAUAAGUUUAUGGUCUAAGUGCAAUGCUUAACAUUGUGAUGCUAUAAAAACUGUUUGACUAGAGUUGGAUAGAGGCAAGUGGAAUUCCAUGUGUAGUAGUAAAAUGCGUAAAUAUAUGGAGGAACACCAUGAGCGAUGGCGGCUUGCUGGGUCUUAACUGACGCUGAGGCACGAAAGCGUGGGGAGCAAACAGGAUUAGAUACCCUGGUAGUCCACGCCGUAAACGAUGAGUACUAGACGUUGGGUUAAACCAGUGUCGAAGUUAACACAUUAAGUACUCCGCCUGAGUAGUACGUACGCAAGUAUGAAACUUAAAGGAAUUGACGGGACUCCGCACAAGCGGUGGAUCAUGUUGUUUAAUUCGAAGGUACCCGAAAAACCUCACCAGGUCUUGACACACUUCUGCAAAGCUGUAGAAAUACAGUGGAGGUUAUCAGUUGCACAGGUGGUGCAUGGUUGUCGUCAGCUCGUGUCGUGAGAUGUUGGGUUAAGUCCCGCAACGAGCGCAACCCUUGUUGUUAAUAGCCAUCAUUAAGUUGGGGACUUUAGCAAGACUGCCAGUGAUAAAUUGGAGGAAGGUGGGGACGACGUCAAAUCAUCAUGCCCCUUAUGACCUGGGCUACAAACGUGAUACAAUGGCUGUUACAAAGGGUAGCUGAAGCGCAAGCUUUUGGCAAAUCUCAAAAAAACAGUCUCAGUUCGGAUUGAAGUCUGCAACUCGACUUCAUGAAGUUGGAAUCGCUAGUAAUCGCGAAUCAGCAUGUCGCGGUGAAUACGUUUACGGGGUUUGUACACACCGCCCGUCA